GGUCCAACAGGAGGAGGGGGUAGAUCUCUGACUCGGAUGCUUGAUGUCACAUCCCGUCGGGUUAAUGAGAAACCAGUGACGGUGGAGUUUGAUCCCCGAACAUUUGUGCCUAUUGGGGCACAUGCAACAUCGUUCAAAAGUUACUUGGGCGUGAUGGCAAAAGCAUAUGUCCCUAUUGUCGCUACCUGUUGAGAUGAUGUCCCACAAGUUGACAAAAAUCUACUAUGGCAGGAUAUUUUGGAAAAUUGGAAUAUCCCUAAUGAUGAGAGGAUAAGGAAGAAGAUUUUAUCCCACAUUGUAGUCCGGUGGAGGGACUUCAAGACGAGAAUGACACAUCAAUACGUCUUUGGCUCUAAACAGAACGACACUCCUUGUACAAAAUAUAAAAUAACUGAGGAGGAGUGGGUGCAGUUUAAAGAAUCUAGACUUACUCUUGAGUGGCAGGUGAAAAGGAUAGUCGCCCAGCAGAGGCAGAAGCUUAAUGAUACACCACACGUACUGUCACGUGGUGGUUAUGCGUUAUUAGAGAAAAAGAUGAGAAAACGUCGCGCUGAGGAGUUAGGUCUUGAGUCACCUGAUCUAGCACCUCCACCAGCCAGACAUGAAUUGUGGAAGGCUGCACGGACAAAGUCCAAUGGCCAGUUUACAUCCCAGUCUGCUCAGGAGAUAUCCUAGAGAAUUCCACAGGUAGGCUAGAACGUCCAGGUUGUGUGCGUGGUGUUGGAGGAGCUAUUGGAUUGACGGACUACUUUGGCCCUAAACCAAGAAGCACAAAAGCCAUGACUCAAGAAAAGGUUAGUAGCAUCAGGCAACAGGUGCAAGUCGAAUUAGAGGAAAGCAUAGGUGAACGCUUCAGAAUGCUCGAAGAAAAACUUGCGAUGAUCACCCAACAACAGCAACAACAACAACAACAAAAACAGUAAUAACAACAGCAAUAGCAACAACAACAAUAAGAGCAACAACAACAGUCACAGCAGGAGGACGCCCCUACAGAUAAUCCUACUACACCUCAUGUGAGCACUAAAGGCUCAUGCUCUACUGCAGAUCGUAUUGAUUACAAUAUUCAAUAUGAGUUCUUGGUUGAUGAGGAUCCUCCGCGUGUAGUGGUUGUGGGACAACAGAUUGCAGGAGGCCAGACCAUUCAUGGUGCUCCUUUAUUGCCCACUCACGCGUGGGUAAUGAUUGAUGAUCCAAGAGACCCCCAGGCUUGAGUUCCAUUGCCUACAUCUGAAAUCCAAUUCGUAGGGGAGGCCUUAGGCACAUUUAUAGCUUGGCCUAAGGCUAUGAUCAUGCCAUAUUUUGGCCCACCAGCGGUCUACCGUCCUGAGAAACAACCAAUUGCUCAACCUGUGAACGAGGCUCGUGAGGAAGCAGAAGACCAUGAUGCUAUAUUCAUUUUGACCUCCAGAUUAAAUAAGUUGAGAAAAGGACCGUAGAGAUGUUGUGGGAGUUAAGAACAUUUGGCCUCGAGUGCCAUGUUCCAUUGUAUAUUAAUUUUGAUGAUGCUUAUGAGAUCAUUGGUGGAGAAAAAAUGCUCAACAUUUCAUGCAUACAACUAUGGUGCUUGUACAUGAACACCAUCGUAGGUGAAUCAGGUCGAGCGUCAGUUUAUGGCUUUCUUUAACCUCAGACCAUUCAACCAUCUGGAAACUCAUUAGAUUUCAAAAACUCAUAUGUUCAAACAUGGAUGACUAAGUCUAACAGAGAGAUAUAUAUCGCGCCAUACAUUGAUGCGUAUGUGUUUCCCAAUAUUCUCAACUUUUAUCAAAUUUUAAUCAAUAAACUAACUCACUAGUUGUUGGUACAUGACAAGGGCCAUUGGCAACUCAUGGUGAUCAUUCCAAAAAACGCACAAGUUGUAUGGUUUCUCUUCAUAGGAAGAUUAAAGCGGAGUUGAAGUCCGUGAUACAAAUAGUUGUGACUAGGACCAGAGGACAACAACUUGAAAUUAUAUAUCCUAAGUGUAAUAAGUAGAAUGAUUCUUGGGCAUGUGGCUACUACAUCAUGUCAUGGAUGAAGGCAAUCAUCCGAGCAGAAAUUAGAGGGGAAUGGACUGAGCGGUUCAACACUACCUCUCCAUUUCCACUUCAGUAAUAACGACGAUAAGAGAGGAUUGGGCACGAUAUUUGAAUAAACAUUUUAAAUAGCUAUAACUUUAGGUUUUUCCUUUCAUGAUAGUAGCAUUUGCUUACUUGUGCAGCUU